GAUGAACGCUGGCGGCGUGCCUAACACAUGCGAGUCGAGCGGCAGCGAGGGGUGCUUGCACCCUGUCGGCGAGCGGCGGACGGCUGAGUAACGCGUGGGAACGUGCCCCAAAGUGAGGAAUAACUGCCCGAAAGGGUAGCUAAUACCGCAUAUUAUCUUCGGAUCAAAGGAUUUAUCCGCUUUGGGAGCGGCUCGCGUCGGAUUAGGUAGUUGGUGAGGUAAUGGCUCACCAAGCCGACGAUCCGUAGCUGGUCUGAGAGGAUGACCAGCCAGACUGGAACUGAGACACGGUCCAGACUCCUACGGGAGGCAGCAGUGAGGAAUCUUCCACAAUGGGCGAAAGCCUGAUGGAGCAACGCCGCGUGCAGGACGAAGGCCUUCGGGUUGUAAACUGCUUUUAUAAGUGAGGAAUAUGACGGUAACUUAUGAAUAAGGAUCGGCUAACUACGUG
rnacentral:rRNA from 1 species